AAAACGUUUAGUUGGAUCAGGAGCAGAAAGUACAGGUGAGUUAACAAGUGCCGUCUUGAGCUGUUGAAAUGCCUGCUCACACUCUGGGGCCCAGACUACUAGCUUAGGGAGAUUCUUACGGGUCAAAUCAGUGAGGGGUUUGGCAAGGGCACUAUAGUUGGCCACAAAUUUCCGGUAAUACCCGGCGGUCCCUAAGAAGGCGAGCACUUGGGUCUUGG